CCUACGGUGUGCAGCAGUGAGGAAUAUUGGUCAAUGGACGAGAGUCUGAACCAGCCAAGUAGCGUGAAGGAUGACUGCCCUAUGGGUUGUAAACUUCUUUUAUAUGGGAAUAAAAUGUUCCACGUGUGGGCUUUUGUAUGUACCAUAUGAAUAAGGAUCGGCUAACUCCGUGCCAGCAGCCGCGGUAAUACGGAGGAUCCGAGCGUUAUCCGGAUUUAUUGGGUGUAAAGGGAGCGUAGGUGGAUUGUUAAGUCAGUUGUGAAAGUUUGCGGCUCAACCGUAAAAUUGUAGUUGAAACUGGCAGUCUGGAGUGCAGGAGAGGUGAGCGGAAUUCGUGGUGUAGCGGUGAAAUGCUUAGAUAUCACGAAGAACUCCGAUUGCGAAGGCAGCCUACUAAACUGUCACUGACAUUGAUGCUCGAAAGUGUGGGUAUCAAACAGGAUUAGAUACCCUAGUAGUC
rnacentral:rRNA from 1 species